rnacentral:misc_RNA from 1 species
GAAUUCGGCCUUUGGCCUUAUACACAUAAUACACUGUGAACCGUGGCUUCGGCCCAAACUUGAAGUCUAGAAUGUAACAUAUCAUAACAAAAUACAACUUUUAACAACGGAUCUCUUGGCUCU